GGGGACCAACCGGAUAGAUACCGGGUGUCCACCCGGUAAACGAGGAAUACUAGACGUCGGGAAGCAUGCUUCUGGGGGUCGUCGCAACCGCAAUAAGUAUUCCACCUGGGGAGUACGUUCGCAAGAAUGACACUCAAAGGAAUNGACGGGGACCCGCACAANCGGUGGAGCAUGUGGUAUAAUUCGAAGCAACGCGAAGAACCUGACCUGCUCUGGACAUCCCAUUCGAUAGAGGGUAAUGCCUCUAGCCCUUCGGGGGAAUGGAGACAGNUGGUGCAUGGUCGUCGUCAGCUCGUGUCGUGAGAUGUUGGGUUAAGUCCCGCAACGAGCGCAACCCUUAUUGUCAGUAGCCAGCAGGUGAAGCUGGGCACUCUGAUGAGACUGCCGGGGAUAACCCGGAGGAAGGUGGGGAUGACGUCAAAUCAUCAUGCCCCUUAUGAGCAGGGCUACACACGUGCUACAAUGGCGUAAACAGAGGGAAGCGAAGGAGUGAUCCGGAGCAAAUCUCAAAAAUAACGUCUCAGUUCGGAUUGUAGUCUGCAACUCGACUACAUGAAGCUGGAAUCGCUAGUAAUCGCAGAUCAGAAUGCUGCGGUGAAUACGUUCCCGGGUCUUGUACACACCGCCCGUCACACCAUGGGAGUCGGUAAUGCCCGAAGUCAGUGACUCAACCGAAAGGAGAGAGCUGCCGAAGGCAGGACUGGUAACUGGGGUGAAGUCGUAACAAGGUAGCCGUAUCGGAAGGUGCGGCUG
rnacentral:rRNA from 1 species